UUUGACAAUCCUGCAUCCUCCAAUUCUGGCAUUCUUAAUUUCUGGCAAUUCCUAGUCCCUAAUUCACCUUCAGGCCUUCACUUCUAUGUUACUUACUCUAAGAAGCCUUCCAGCACUCCCGAGACUGGCUUAGGUGCCUGAAUAGAAAAGCAUCAAAUAUUUAUUAACUUUGUGGUAUCAUCAUAUUUUUUCGUAAGUUUUAUCGUUUUGCUCUCCCUCAACAUUACCAAAAGUUCACUUAAGAAAUCCACACUGCCAUAUUCAGAAUCAUAACUCUAGCAUUUAAAGUAGAUUUAGGAUAUCAUUUAUGUUCAAUAAAAUAUGCGGCAGUAUUAAAGGAAUUCCAAACAAAAUGUACAUAAGAUGUAUAAGAUAUAAUUAAGAGGAAAAAAGGAAGAAAAGACAGAAGAAAUCCAAAAUUUAAUUUGUCAGAUCAUAAUAUUGGCUAGGCCUUGAUUUUUGUCCUUGGUGGCUAACAUAGGACUAAAGCCAGUCUCGGAUUUAUCAUCAUCAACAUCAGUGUGAGAGGAGAGUCUUCAAAGAUAUACUUAAACAGAUAUGCCAUAAUGAGGCAAAAUAACAUUAUCAACGACCUGUGACAAUCUUUUUCUAAGAUUAUUACAAUAGUUCUAUAUGGAAAGUAAAGAGCUUUAGUAAAAAUCUAGGUUACUUUUAGAAGCAAUGAGACUCUACUAGAAAGAAAUACACUCUGUAAAAGAGUGUGAAGUAGCCUUUAGUGUGUGCCUUUAAUGUCUUCAACUAUAAUUUAUGUCACUUCAGUAAAGCCAUUACUCCAUAAUCAAAAAUUCUUCCUUUUGGUUUUACAGGAAGAUUGAAAUUGAAAUUAAUACCUUAAUGUAGAAACAUGAUGAACUGCCUGUCGGUAAAGUCCGUGCUUGUACUUUUACAAAGUUCAAUAUCUAGUUCUUCUUGGGUACUAUGACUCAUCUUCAUGGAAAUCAUUUGUGGCAUUAAAGAAAGAAAAGGGAUGGGAGAGAUAAGCAUAAAUCAUAAGCCAAUAAAGCCUGGACUCACUCUCUGGCAGUGUCCUGACAGGGAGUCAAGAUAUUUUCUGGAAACAAGGCUGCUUGAUGCACCAGACGGCCAGCCUCUACACUCAGGACUAUAACCCAGAUUCUCACUGCCCAAAUGAGACAAAAAUAACAGAUUGUGGAGGCCAGAACAUAGCCAGUCCAUCGAUAGCCACACACUGGCUGUGAGCAGAGGUGCCUCUCUGAAACUCUGGUGUAGUCUCUGACAGCAAAAGAGCAUAACUGUACAUUAAGACUGGAUUUCCCACAAGUCCCCAUGAAAUGAAGUUUUGGAGUCAAAAUUAAGCUGAUUUAUAGAGAAUGAAGAACUGCUUUCUCUAAGUCAAUAUUCCUUGCAUAACUGUUUGCAUUGUGGGAAUUUUAUUCUAAAUAGCAUAUUUCUCCACAUAUUUUUCAGUCAGUUUAUAUUAAACACCCAUUAUAU
rnacentral:lncRNA from 1 species